AUGAAACGUUGGCGGCGUGCCUAAUACAUGCAAGUCGAACGAAGACUGUAGUAAUACUGUCUUAGUGGCGAACGGGUGAGUAACGCGUGGGUGACCUGCCCCGAAGUGUGGGAUAACAGUCCGAAAGGAUUGCUAAUACUGCAUAAUAUCCAAGAGAUUAGAUGCUUUUGGAUUAAAGGAGUAAUUCGCUUCGGGAGGGGCCCGCGUCCCAUCAGCUAGUUGGUAAGGUAAUGGCUUACCAAGGCGAUGACGGGUAGGGGACCUGAGAGGGUGGCCCCCCACAAUGGAACUGAAACACGGUCCAUACACCUACGGGUGGCAGCAGUAGGGAAUAUUAGUAAUGGGCGAAAGCCUGAACUAGCAACGCCGCGUGUGCGAAGAAGGCCUUCGGGUCGUAAAGCACUUUUUGAGAGGAUGAGGAAGGACGGUACUCUCAGAAUAAGUCUCGGCUAACUACGUG
rnacentral:rRNA from 1 species